UACGUAGGGGGCGAGCGUUGUCCGGAUUUAUUGGGCGUAAAGAGCGUGUAGGCGGCCAGGUAGGUCGGUUGUGAAAACUGGAGGCUCAACCUUCAGACGUCGACCGAAACCCCCUGGCUAGAGUCCGGAAGAGGAGAAUGGAAUUCCUGGUGUAGCGGUGAAAUGCGCAGAUAUCAGGAAGAACACCCGUGGCGAAAGCGGUUCUCUGGGACGGUACUGACGCUGAGACGCGAAAGCGUGGGGAGCGAACAGG
rnacentral:rRNA from 1 species